rnacentral:rRNA from 1 species
GAUGAACGCUGGCGGCGUGCCUAAUACAUGCAAGUCGAGCGAACGGACGAGAAGCUUGCUUCUCUGAUGUUAGCGGCGGACGGGUGAGUAACACGUGGAUAACCUACCUAUAAGACUGGGAUAACUUCGGGAAACCGGAGCUAAUACCGGAUAAUAUUUUGAACCGCAUGGUUCAAAAGUGAAAGACGGUCUUGCUGUCACUUAUAGAUGGAUCCGCGCUGCAUUAGCUAGUUGGUAAGGUAACGGCUUACCAAGGCAACGAUGCAUAGCCGACCUGAGAGGGUGAUCGGCCACACUGGAACUGAGACACGGUCCAGACUCCUACGGGAGGCAGCAGUAGGGAAUCUGCCGCAAUGGGCGAAAGCCUGACGGAGCAACGCCACGUGAGUGAUGAAGGUCUUCGGAUCGUAAAACUCUGUUAUUAGGGAAGAACAUAUGUGUAAGUAACUGUGCACAUCUUGACGGUACCUAAUCAGAAGGCCACGGCUAACUACGU